CAAUAGCGUAUAUUAAAGUUGUUGCAGUUAAAAAGCUCGUAGUUGGAUUUCGGGGCCCCGGACGCUCGUUGCAUGUGUCACUGGACGAGUUCAGUGGCCGUGUGGCGGUCGUCGGUCUCUGAGUCGGAUCGGUCCGCCGAGAGGCGUGUACUGACCGACGGCCCCUGUUGUCUCUCGGGUUGCCCGCCUGCACUUAACUGUUGUGGACGGGGAGUUCGGGACGUUUACUUUGAACAAAUUAGAGUGUUCCAAGCAGGCCGUUUGCUUUGAAUACAUUAGCAUGGAAUAAUGGAAUAGGGCUGCGUGGCCUGUCGUUUCGGCGGCGGGUCCUCGUGUCCUAUUUUGUUGGUUUUCGGGACCGCAGUCAUGGUCAAGAGGGACAGUUGGGGGCAUUCGUAUUCAGUUGUCAGAGGUGAAAUUCUUGGAUUUACGGAAGACGAACAACUGCGAAAGCAUUUGCCAAGGAUGUUUNCAUUAA
rnacentral:rRNA from 1 species